rnacentral:lncRNA from 7 species
GCGCUCAUCAGGACCUUCCCCUUCCCCGCUCGGUCUCGAACAGAUGCCGUGGGCGCCGACUUGCCACAGAUCUUGUGGGCCGUUGCAACCGCCUCCGUGGGUGCGCGCACUCAGAUAUAAAGCUAGCUGGGCACCGCGAACGCCCCCUCAACCAUCCCAUAUCUACGCCAUUGGGGCCUAUGCGUCGCUGUGCCGUCGUGCAGUCUGUGCGAUCCGAGGAGAGAGAGAAGGUGAGCCACGACCGCUGUAACAACGUCGCUAGGUCUGGGUGCCUCACCACUGUUCGUGGAGGCUUUCCAGUGCGGCUUCAUGUGGGGUCUUCGUCGACCAUGGCCGUAAUGGCUCGCUGAUGUUUAGCUUGCCAUAGAUCCAUCUCGGGUGUGGGGCAUCGCCAUCAAUCUCGUCAACCCCGGUGAGGAGACAACAAACUUUUGUUGUACCAAGGUGGUGAAAAGU